rnacentral:lncRNA from 10 species
AUUGAAUGAAGACACAGGUAUAAAGAUCGACUUUGACCUUGCACUUAAGAAUGAAAAGUGCUCAUUAUAUCUUCCUGACAAAGGGAGCGGAGUCCGGAAUAUUCACAAUGAGUUUGUGCUACUCCUUGGGCCCCUGAGUGACUCUCAGAUGAAGGUUUUCAUUGGCCAUCUGUUGCUCAUGGGUCUCUGCCCUUGAAAUCUGCAGCUGUUGAACACAUGGACUACACUCUUUUAUCUUGAUCUGAGCCUGGAGUCCUCCUGGAUGGCUCUAUCCUAUUUCGUUUUUCAUGUAUUCCCCUGAUACCUGGCUGUGAUUCCCAUUUGAUUUCUCAUCUGGCUGAGGUCACACUAGGCUGCACUCAUAGUCCCAUUUAGUCCAUUCCAAGACAAACUUCUGAAACACUGACAAGCCAGCAUCAUCAGCUACAUUUUUAUCUUGCCAAGGGUUAUUCACAAUCUUAACAGCUGGCUCCUUAUGCUGAUAAAUCAACAGCCAAAAAAGUGGCUUGCUGUAUUUGCUGAUUUGAAUGAUUUUGAUGACCAGGGGAAAAUCAGAUUGCUACUCCACAGUGGGGGUGAGGAGUAUCUCAGAAGUGCAAAAGAUCCCCUGGGGCAUCCCUUAGUACUGUUCCUGUGCUAUAAUUAAAAAGGUAAAAUUACAAGUCAAUACAGGCAAAUCUGCUAGUGACCCACGCACUUUAAGAAUAAAGUUUGGAAUGAGCUUACCCCAUGAAAAAAAUAAACAAUUGAAGAUACCCACUGAAAAUAAAAGAAUAUAAACUUCAAGAAAGCAGUUUUAAAUACUAGUUGCAACCAUGUGACUACUUGAUAUACACAGUUCUUCCUAGUUUUGAUAUAAAUACAUCCGUAACAUUUCUUUUCUUUUUCAUUCCUAUAUAUAUAUAUUUGUAUGUAUU